GUGCCAGCAGCCGCGGUAAUACCGGCAGCCCAAGUGAUGGCCGCUGUUAUUGGGCCUAAAGCGUCCGUGGCUGGCCGCACAAGUCCGUCGGGAAAUCCACUCGCUCAACGAGUGGCCGUCCGGUGGAAACUCCACACCUUGGGACCGGAAGGCUCGAAGGGUACGGCCGGGGUAGGAGUGAAAUCCUGUAAUCCCGUCCGGACCACCGAUGGCGAAAGCACUUCGAGAAAACGGAUCCGACAGUGAGGGACGAAAGCUAAGAUCGCGAACCGGAUUAGAUACCCUAGUAGUCC
rnacentral:rRNA from 1 species